GUCUACGGCCAUACCACCCAGAACACGCCUGAUUUCUUCUGAUCUCGGAAGCUAAGUGGAGUGGGGCCUGGUUAGUACUUGGAUGAGAGAGAGGUUUUUUUUUUGUUUUUGAGACAGCGUCUUGCUCUGUCACCC
rnacentral:rRNA from 1 species